rnacentral:rRNA from 1 species
AUUGAACGCUGGCGGCAGGCCUAACACAUGCAAGUCGAACGAGUGGCGGACGGGUGAGUAAUGUCGGGGAAAAUGCCUGAUGGAGGGGGAUAACUAAUGGAAACGGUAGCUAAUACAGCAUACCAUCGGAUGUGCACAGAUGGGAUUAGCUAGUAGGUGGGGUAAAGGCUAACCUAGGCGAAGAUCCCUAGCUGGUCUGAGAGGAUGACCACCCAAACUGGAACUGAGACACGGUCCAGACUCCUACGGGAGUCAGCAGGUGGUAAUAUUGCACAAUGGGCGCAAGCCGGAUGCAGCCAUGCCGCGUGUAUGAAGAAGGCCUUCGGGUUGUAAAGUACUUGCAGCGAGGAGGCGUUACCCGCAGAAGAAGCACCGGCUAACUCCGUGCCAGCAGCCGCGGUAAUUC